GACGAACGCUGGCGGCGUGCCUAAUACAUGCAAGUCGAACGCAUUUUCUUUCACCGUAGCUUGCUACACCGAAAGAAAAUGAGUGGCGAACGGGUGAGUAACACGUGGGUAACCUGCCCAUCAGCGGGGGAUAACACUUGGAAACAGGUGCUAAUACCGCAUAAUUCCAUUUACCGCAUGGUAGAUGGGUGAAAGGCGCUUUUGCGUCACUGAUGGAUGGACCUGCGGUGCAUUAGCUAGUUGGUGGGGUAACGGCCUACCAAGGCUGCGAUGCAUAGCCGACCUGAGAGGGUGAUCGGCCACACUGGGACUGAGACACGGACCAGACUCCUACGGGAGGCAGCAGUAGGGAAUCUUCGGCAAUGGACGCAAGUCUGACCGAGCAACGCCGCGUGAGUGAAGAAGGGUUUCGGAUCGUAAAACUCUGUUGUUAGAGAAGAACAAGGAUGAGAGUGGAAAGUUCAUCCCUUGACGGUAUCUAACCAGAAAGCCACGGCUAACUACGUG
rnacentral:rRNA from 1 species